UAAACUUGCUUAGGGUCACACAGCUAAAAUUGAAAGAAUGCAGAAAAAGUUAGCGUUGCUUUUGUGCAAGGAUAACAUACAAAUUCAUGAAGUCUUCCAUAUUUUU